ensembl:lncRNA
UAGAGCAGGGUUAAUAGUUCCAGGGUUAAUAAUCCAGGGUUAAUAGUCCAGGGUUAAUAAUCCAGGGUUAAUAGUUCCAGGGUUAAUAGAGCAGGGUUAAUAGUUCCAGGGUUAAUAGAGCAGGGUUAAUAGUUCCAGGGUUAAUAGACUAGGGUUAAUAAUUCCAGGGUUAAUAGUUCCAGGGUUAAUAAUCCAGGGUUAAUAGUUCCAGGGUUAAUAGUUCCAGGGUUAAUAAUCCAGGGUUAAUAGUUCCAAGGUUAAUAGUUCCAGGGUUAGUAAUCCAUGGUUAAUAGUUCCAGGGUUAAUAUUCCAGGGUUAAUAGUUCAAGGGUUAAUAAUCCAGGGUUAAUAGUUCCAGGGU